GGCUCGGUAGCUUAGUUGGUAAAGCGCUCGUCUAGCAUACAAGAGUCCUGGGUUGAAAUCCCAGCCGAGCAC
rfam:Aedes aegypti strain Liverpool supercont1.390 genomic scaffold, whole genome shotgun sequence.